rnacentral:sRNA from 1 species
CGAUAUCAGGCGCCCCACUCCUCCUCCCAGGGGUUGUCUGUAGGAGCAGCGACACUCCUCCUCCCAGUCGCUGCUCGGUUCUUUUCGGAAAGCCUGCCGCACCUCCUCCCGCGGCAGGUUUUCUGG